rnacentral:rRNA from 1 species
UCGCGGGGCAACAUGAAGACUGCUUGCAGUUUUUGAUGGCGACCGGCGCACGGGUGCGUAACGCGUAUCCAAUCUACCCUUUACACAGGGAUAGCCUUGCGAAAGCAAGAUUAAUACCUGAUGUUCUUGCGAAGCCGCAUGACCUUGCAAGCAAAGGCAUUUGUCGGUAAAGGAUGAGGAUGCGUCUGAUUAGUUAGUUGGCGGGGUAACGGCCCACCAAGACAUCGAUCAGUAGGGGUUCUGAGAGGAAGGUCCCCCACACUGGAACUGAGACACGGUCCAGACUCCUACGGGAGGCAGCAGUGAGGAAUAUUGGUCAAUGGACGCAAGUCUGAACCAGCCAAGUAGCGUGCAGGAAGACGGCCCUAUCGGGUUGUAAACUGCUUUUAUACGGGAGCAAAGAUAUCCACGUGUGGUUAGUUGCGCGUACCGUAUGAAUAAUGACCGGCUAAUUCCGUGCCAGCAGCCGCGGUAAUACGGAAGGUCAGGGCGUUACCCGGAUUUAUUGGGUUUAAAGGGAGCGCAGGCGGAUUUAUAAGUCAGCCGUGAAAAGCUGUGGCUCAACCACAGUCGUGCGGUUG